CGAAAGCCUGACGGAGCAAUACCGCGUGAGGGAGGAAGGUUCUUGGAUUGUAAACCUCUUUUCUCAGGGAAGAAAAAAAUGACGGUACCAAAGGAAUCAGCCUCGGCUAACUCCGUGCCAGCAGCCGCGGUAAUACGGAGGAGGCAAGCGUUAUCCGGAAUGAUUGGGCGUAAAGCGUCCGCAGGUGGCAAUGUAAGUCUGCCGUCAAAACCCAGGGCUCAACUCUGGUCAGGCAGUGGAAACUACAUAGCUAGAGUUCGGUAGGGGCAAAGGGAAUUCCCGGUGUAGCGGUGAAAUGCGUAGAGAUCGGGAAGAACAUCGGUGGCGAAAGCGCUUUGCUAGACCGAAACUGACACUCAGGGACGAAAGCUAGGGGAGCG
rnacentral:rRNA from 1 species